CGUGUAGGCGGUUUUUUAAGUCUGAUGUGAAAGCCCCGGGCUCAACCCGGGAAGUGCAUUGGAUACUGGGAGACUUGAAUACGGGAGAGGGUAGUGGAAUUCCUAGUGUAGGAGCGAAAUCCGUAGAUAUUAGGAGGAACACCGGUGGCGAAGGCGGCUACCUGGACCGAUAUUGACGCUGAGACGCGAAAGCGUGGGGAGCAAACAGGAUUAGAUACCCUGGUAGUCCACGCCGUAAACGAUGAGAACUAGGUGUUGCGGGUAUUGACCCCUGCAGUGCCGCAGCUAACGCAUUAAGUUCUCCGCCUGGGAAGUACGGUCGCAAGACUAAA
rnacentral:rRNA from 1 species